rnacentral:rRNA from 1 species
CCUACGGGUGGCAGCAGUGGGGAAUAUUGGACAAUGGGCGAAAGCCUGAUCCAGCCAUGCCGCGUGUGUGAAGAAGGCCUUCGGGUUGUAAAGCACUUUCAGUGGGGAAGAAAGCCUUGGGGCUAAUACCCUCGAGGAAGGACAUCACCCACAGAAGAAGCACCGGCUAACUCCGUGCCAGCAGCCGCGGUAAUACGGAGGGUGCGAGCGUUAAUCGGAAUUACUGGGCGUAAAGCGCGCGUAGGCGGUCUGAUAAGCCGGUUGUGAAAGCCCCGGGCUCAACCUGGGAACGGCAUCCGGAACUGUCAGGCUAGAGUGCAGGAGAGGAAGGUAGAAUUCCCGGUGUAGCGGUGAAAUGCGUAGAGAUCGGGAGGAAUACCAGUGGCGAAGGCGGCCUUCUGGACUGACACUGACGCUGAGGUGCGAAAGCGUGGGUAGCAAACAGGAUUAGAUACCCUAGUAGU